rnacentral:tRNA from 2 species
CGCCCCGGUCGCCAAGGGGAUUAGCGUACAGAUAACGUACAGAGCGAUGGCGGCGACCACUGUGAACAUCGAUCAAAGCGCACUGCGCGGCAGCGGCCUUCUAAGCCGCCGGUUGCGCGUUCGAGUCGCGCCGGGCGCA